rnacentral:rRNA from 1 species
CCUACGGGUGGCUGCAGUGGGGAAUAUUGGACAAUGGGCGCAAGCCUGAUCCAGCAAUGCCGCGUGUGUGAAGAAGGCCUGCGGGUUGUAAAGCCCUUUAAGCCGGAAAGAAGGCUGCAAGGCUAAUAUCCUUGUAGAUUGACGUUACCGGCAGAAUAAGCACCGGCUAACUCCGUGCCAGCAGCCGCGGUCAUACGGCGGGUGCGAGCGUUAAUCGGAGUUAGUGGGCGUAGAUCGCGCGUAGGCCGGUGAAAGCCGUGGGAUUAACCUGGGAACUGCAGUGGAAACUGGCGGGAUAGAGUAUGGUAGAGGAGGGUGGAAUUUCCGGUGUAGCAGUGAAAUGCGUAGAGAUCGGAAGGAACACCAGUGGCGAAGGCGGCUCUCUGGACCAAUACUGACGCUGAGGUGCGAAAGCGUGGGGAGCAAACAGGAUUAGAUACCCCUGUAGUC